GGUUAAAGUAAUGCACCGUUCUGACCAAAACAACCAAUCAGAACCAGUUGGACGCUCUAGUGCUGUCAAUCAACUUCACUCACUCACUGCUAAACGUGCUACUGGUGGAGAAACAACUUAUUGUUACAGGAAAAUCGUUUAUCUGCUAUCAUUGGUAUCUAUGCUUACUAGACUAAGCAUUUACAACAGGCCAUGCUAGCUACAGAAUAGCACAGAGUGAUGGGGAGGAAGGAUAAGCAGCCACAUGAGAUUGUGAUUGACAGCACUAAAACUCUCCUGCCACUGACUGAGGAAAUAGAUUGUUCACAUAUUACCUCUCAUGCCAUACUGUCACAACAUAAUGACAGUUU